UACCGCACCAAGCUUUCCACUGCCCUCCAAGUUAACCAGGGGCUCUGGAUAAAAAGUUGUGGUUAUAGUGAGUUCACUCCAUUUUGCGAUAAACUGCCAGCGGACUUUCCCGUGCCGCCGGCGGUUAACAACUUCUGGAACAACG
ensembl:snoRNA snoRNA:Psi28S-2179 snoRNA:Psi28S-2179